GUGCUUGCACUCAGAUGACGAGUGGCGGACGGGCGAGUAACGCGUAGGAAUCUGCCUAUAAGAGGGGGACAACCAUUGGAAACGAUGGCUAAUACCGCAUAAUACCUUUGGGUCAAAAGUGGCUACUUGUAGCUGCUGCUUAUAGAUGAGCCUGCGUUAGAUUAGCUUGAUGGUGGGGUAAAGGCCUACCAUGGCUGCGAUCUAUAGCUGUUCUGAGAGGAAGAUCAGCCGCAUUGGGACUGAGACACGGCCCAGACUCUUACGGGAGGCAGCAGUGGGGAAUAUUGGACAAUGGGCGGAAGCCUGAUCCAGCAAUACCACGUGUGUGAAGAAGGCCUUAGGGUUGUAAAGCACUUUCAGAAGGGAGGAAGUGAGCUAGGUUAAGAGCUAGGUUUAUUGACGUUACCUUCAGAAGAAGCACCGGCUAACUCCGUGCCAGCAGCCGCGGUAAUACGGAGGGUGCGAGCGUUAAUCGGAAUUACUGGGCGUAAAGGGUUCGUAGGCGGUUAUAUAAGUCAGAUGUGAAAGCCCUGGGCUCAACCUAGGAACUGCACCUGAAACUGUAUAACUAGAGUAUAGUAGAGGAGAGGGGAAUUUCCGGUGUAGCGGUGAAAUGCGUAGAUAUCGGAAGGAACAUCAGUGGCGAAGGCGACUCUCUGGACUAAUACUGACGCUGAGGGACGAAAGCAUGGGUAGCAAACAGGAUUAGAUACCCUGGUAGUCCAUGCUGUAAACGAUGAGUACUAGCUGUUGGAUCUGGUGUAAAAGAUUUAGUGGCGCAGCU
rnacentral:rRNA from 1 species